UACAGAGGAAGACCUAGUGGCGAACGGGUGAGGAACACGUGAGGAACCUGCCCCGAACUUUGGGAUAACAGUUGGAAACGACUGCUAAUACCGAAUGCCGUUACGAAGUGGCAUCACUUUGUAACGAAAGAAUUUCGGUUCGGGAGGGCCUCGCGGCCUAUCAGCUAGUUGGUGGGGUAACGGCCUACCAAGGCAUCGACGGGUAGCUGGUCUGAGAGGAUGAUCAGCCACACUGGGACUGAGACACGGCCCAGACUCCUACGGGAGGCAGCAGUGGGGAAUCUUGUGCAAUGGGCGAAAGCCUGACACAGCCACGCCGCGUGCGGGAAGAAGGCCUUCGGGUUGUAAACCGCUUUCAGCAGGAGCGAAAAUGACGGUACCUGCAGAAGAAGAUGCGGCCAACUACGUGCCAGCAGCCGCGGUGAUACGUAGGCAUCAAGCGUUGUCCGGAUUUAUUGGGCGUAAAGAGCUCGU
rnacentral:rRNA from 1 species